rnacentral:rRNA from 1 species
GUGUCAGCAGCCGCGGUAAUACGUAGGGUCCGAGCGUUGUCCGGAGUUACUGGGCGUAAAGCGCGCGCAGGUGGUUCACUAAGCCCGGCGUGAAAGCCCCCGGCUCAACCGGGGAGGGUCGUCGGGGACUGGUGAACUUGAGGGCGGCAGGGGCUGGUGGAAUCCCCGGUGUAGUGGUGAAAUGCGUAGAGAUCGGGGGGAACACCCGUGGCGAAGGCGGCCAGCUGGGCCGUCCCUGACACUGAGGCGCGAAGGCGUGGGGAGCGAACGGGAUUAGAUACCCCGGUAGUCC